UACGAAGGGGGCUAGCGUUGCUCGGAAUCACUGGGCGUAAAGGGCGCGUAGGCGGAUCUUUAAGUCGGGGGUGAAAGCCUGUGGCUCAACCACAGAAUCGCCUUCGAUACUGAAGAUCUCGAGACCGGAAGAGGUAAGUGGAACUGCGAGUGUAGAGGUGAAAUUCGUAGAUAUUCGCAAGAACACCAGUGGCGAAGGCGGCUUACUGGUCCGGUUCUGACGCUGAGGCGCGAAAGCGUGGGGAGCAAACAGG
rnacentral:rRNA from 1 species